CUGUUCUUGAAGCCUUGAGCGUACAACCUCAUGGGGAUAUGUCAAUGUGGAAGCAAAUAUUUUUGAGACUGAUGAGGCAACAGCAACAUGGCGCGCACUUAGUUUAUCCAUUGUAGUAUUCUCUGCGAUCAGCCAAAUAAAAUUUGAUCGUCUCAUAUGUUGGAAAUUGAAUGGCAACAUGACUGAUGCCAGCCAAUGCAGGCAGAAGACCACUGUAUAACCCACGAAAACCCUCCUCAUGAGCUAUUCUCCUCAAAGCAGACAGUGUACUCCUAUAUGGAACCACACUUGCUCUAAUUCCCUGGGUUUGAAGUCUUGUCUUCACAACCCAAAGGGGGUUUGUAAAAAUAGUUGUUGCAGCUCCAGCUCCAGAAGCAGCUAUCACGUUAGCAGCUAUUGAAAGAUGAUUCUCAUCAUUGGAAGAAAGAAAGCUUUUG
rnacentral:misc_RNA from 1 species